rnacentral:lncRNA from 1 species
GCCUGGGUCAGUGUGAGCCAUCCGCAGCAGAUGAUCCGAAGGAAGGAAGGAGCCACCCUUUCUCCUGCGCGUGCUCCACAUAGAAGCUGAAUUUCUCCCUUGCAUUCGGAAUGUCGAGGGCCAAAUCAUCUAGCCCAUCCUUGAUUCGGGUGAAGCCUUUUGUCAUCUGGUUAAUUGUGAUCAGCCCUUCGUUGAAGCACUCCUGAAGCAGGUGAAGCAUCCUGUCAUUCUUCUUCUCCAUGGCCAUGACCAGUGCCUUCUUCACCACCUCAUGGUUAAAGAAGGGCAUCCCAAGAUCACGAAUGCACUGGCAGGCUUCGCUUACUACACCCCCACUCUCAUACUCCUCCAGCAGCUUUGC